rnacentral:rRNA from 1 species
AUUAAUUAAUUUAUUGAUAUAAUAGUUUUAGAAUUUUUAAAAUAAAAAAAUUAAUUUUUAUUAUAAAAUUAGAAAAAUUUAUUUUUAUUAUAGUUUAUUAGUAUUGAGAAAGAAAAUUAUUAAAUAUUUAAAGAAAAAUUUAGUUUUUGUACCUUGUGUAUCAGGGUUGAUUAAAUAUUAAUUAAUUAUUUAAAUUUCUCGAAUUUAAAAGAGCUAUUUUUAUAUAAUUUUAUUGUUAAAUAAAUAUUUUGAAUAUAAAAAUAGUAAUGAAAUGUUAUUCGUUUUUAAAUAUAUCUAGUUUCUUAAGAAAAAAAUUAAAUUUUAAUUUUAUGAAUAUAUUUAUUUAUUUUUUAUUUUUAUAUUAAUAAAAUAAAAUAAUUUUAGGGAUGAGCUUAAAAUUAUAAAUUUAUAAAAUCUUAAUUUUUAUUAAAUUUGUAGGAUUAAUAAUUUUUAUCAUUAAAAAUUUGUUAUAAUUGAUUUAAUUUUUUAAAUUUUUUUUAUUAUUUUUAAAUAAUUUAUUAAGAUAAUUAUUUUAAUAUUUAAAAUAAUGGAAUUAUGAUUAAAUUAGUAAAAAUUUUUUUAAAAUUAUAAAGAUUUGGUUAGAUAUAAAAAAGGAAUUCGACAAAUAUAUUUUUUACCUGUUUAUUAAAAACAUGUCCUAUUGAUUUAUAAUUUUAGGUCUUGCCUGCCCCCUGAAAUAUUUUAAAUGGCCGCGGUAUUUUGACCGUGCAAAGGUAGCAUAAUCAUUAGUUUUUUAAUUGAAAGCUUGUAUGAAUGGUUGGAUAAAAAAAUUAUUGUCUCUUUUAUAAUAUUUGAAUUUUAUUUUUAAGUUAAAAAGCUUAAAUAAUUUUAAAAGACGAGAAGACCCUAUAGAGUUUAAUUUUAAUUUUUUAAAUAUAUUUUAGAAUUUAUUAUUUAUUUAUAAAAUUAGAAUUUAAUUGGGGUGAUUAAAAAAUUAAAUUAACUUUUUUUUAUUUAUAACAGUAAUAAUUGAGUUUUUGAUCCAUUAAUAAUGAUUAUAAGAUAAAAUUACCUUAGGGAUAACAGCGUAAUUUUUUUUAAGAGUUCAUAUUGAAAAAAAAGAUUGCGACCUCGAUGUUGGAUUAAAAUUAAUUUUUGGUGCAGAAGCUAAAACUAUUAAGUCUGUUCGACUUUUAAAAUUUUACAUGAUCUGAGUUUAAACCGGCGUGAGCCAGGUUGGUUUCUAUCUUUAAUUAAUAGAAAUAUUUUAGUACGAAAGGACCAAAUAUUUAAUUUAAAAGUUUAAUUUUGAUUAUUAUU